rnacentral:misc_RNA from 1 species
GAUGAAGAACGUAGCGAAAUGCGAUAAGUAAUGUGAAUUGCAGAAUUCAGUGAAUCAUCGAAUCUUUGAACGCACAUUGCGCCCGCCAGUAUUCUGGCGGGCAUGCCUGUUCGAGCGUCAUUUCAACCAUCAAGCCCCCGGCUUGUGUUGGGGACCUGCGGCUGCCGCAGGCCCUGAAAACCAGUGGCGGGCUCGCUAGUCACUCCGAGCGUAGUAGUUACAUCUCGCUCAGGGCGUGCUGCGGGUUCCGGCCGUUAAAAGCCUUAUUUACCCAAGGUUGACCUCGGAUCAGGUAGGAAGACCCGCUGAACUUAAGCAUAUCAAUAAGCGAGGA